AAACCAUGAUGUGGACACUCCAAUAUAAAGUCUUUGAAACAUUUCAUACAUCGAGAGAAUGAUUAAUUGGGUCUUUGAUGAAACUAGAGAAUGUCAUUCCUAAGUUU
rnacentral:snoRNA from 1 species